CAUGGCUUACAACAAUCAGGAAUGAAUUAACAUAUGAAAUGAUUAAUUCCUUUUUUUCACAUAAUUUUAUAGAAAAAAGGGAGAAGUUAAUGAUGUGCAUUUUCUAGUUGUGGUCAAUGAAAGAUGGGCGUUGUAUAAUGACUUCGACAUCGUUUUAGGUGAGAACAUCCUCUGUCAUAACCGUUUGAUGGUGGUGGGAGGCAAUUACCGCCUCCUAGUUUGCAUGGAACUUGAAGAUUUUUUCCCAGUCCCGGGUAGCUAAUUGGUGUCGCGUUUGCACCCUCUUCCAUCACCAUUGAGCUUAUUACCAAUGAACAAAUCCACAACACCAUGAUCUUCUUCUCCACUCCCAUUUUGUUCCAAGAAAUAUACAAUUAUUUAUUUAAUUAGAACUUUACACUAUCUUUCAAUCAAAAGUUUGGGUUUUUUAUCGCUUCAUGGUACUUGUAUAUUUAGUAAAAUGUUUAACCAUAAAUACAAGAUUUAAGCAUUUUUUAAGACAUUUUUAGUAAAUAAGAUGAUGAGUUCAUAACAGAAUUCCCUAGUCUCUUUCAACGCUAUUCAUCCUUUCCAAAAUUAUACAUGCAAUACUAGAUAAAAAAAUGACAUGUUAAAUGUCAGUUUUCUUUAUCAACUACCAAUUUGAGUAAUAUUUUUCAAUGAAAAUAUAAGGAAAUCUCCUCCCUUUCUUUUUCUACAAACUAUUACUAUCCCGUACAACAUUAAAAUCAGUUAUUUGACUAAAGGUAAAUGUACAAUUUUAUUUGAAAUAAUAAGUUAUCCACAUUUUCGUUGUUCUAAUUUCCUAAAGCAUGUGGUAAUCCGAUUGUGUCCGAUUGUGUCCGGGUUAAAUUUGGGUUAUAGUUUUAGGAGCUUACUAUUAUUAUUUUGUUUAUGCUAACUUUAGUUUUUAUUAUUUCUUCUAUUUUGUUUAUUAUUAUAAAUUCUAUCGUAUGCGUAUACUUGUGGAAAUUACAUAUUUACAAUAUGAAUGUUUUUAAAACUAACAAACAAUAAAUAAUGAAAUGUAUGGUUCAAAACUAAAAAUAAUAACAAACUUUAUGAGAGAAAACAUUUUGUGUUAAAAAUCAAUUUUUUUGAAGUUUACUCAAGAAAUAUUAUUGAUGUAGUGGUAAAGAAUUUAUCUGUAGAUCCAUUAAACACAAGUACCAAUCCCCAAACAUGGUAAAUUUAUUUCUUUUAACUAAAAACUAUAUAAAUGUAUGAAAAUACGAAAAAGGCAUCAGAAUGAUAAUAAUAGUCAUUUAACUAAAUGGUUUAUAAGUAAUUCCCUAAGUUGUGACAGACCACAGCCCAACGUGUGGAUGUGUUGGCUAAAAACCACGCAAAUAAAAUAUGUAGAGUUAAGUGCGGUUUCUGCAGGUGAACAUGUCAACUUGCAAUAUAGUUUUCUUUACAAUGAAACACUUAUAAAGUAUUUCGAGGAUCGUACCCAAGGGAUUAUUGAUUAAAGAAAAUGGCUAUUAAAUUAAUUACAGAAAUUAAGUACUAAUCUAGUCGAGUUAUAAAUUAGUCGUAUAAAUCCAAAACAAUAAUAAAAUUAACUAAUUAUUUUAACCGAAAACUAAAAGUAACCCUAAGUUAAUUAUUUCUUUCUCCUAUUCCUAGUUUCGACAACGUGAGCCUUCUCAGCCAAGAAUCAAUUUUAACCCUAAUUAUUAAUUAAGUAGACAAGGACCUUUAAUUAAGUAUGUACUAACCUUAGCUAAGAAUACCUUCCCGGUUUCAUCUUCAUUAAGAAUUACAACCUAAGAUUCCUUUUUGGUCUUACCUAAGCAUACGGAUACCCUUUUGUUCUCACUGCUUGGUACAAGUUCUACUCAAUAGGAUACCCUCUCAGUCUCACUUGUCUAGAUCAUCUACUAUAGGUGUCACUUCCUAGUAUAUUAAGUACUUUCGAAUAAAAACUAAAUUUUAGGCUACUAUUUAUUUAAUCAAUUAAUUACUGAAAUAAUCAAGUCAUUCAAAAUAAGUAUGAAGCCCAAAAUACAUUCCAAUAAUUAUAUAAACAUUCUAUUAAUAAAACUAUCAAAUACAAUAUAAAUGAAAGAAUAAAGGGACGAGAAUGCUCGUUAAUUAAUCAUUGAAAUGGCAAUAUUUCAAAACAUCCUUUGCUCGCGAUCGACUAACUUUGAGAGAGAAGCAUGUAUUGGCCCAUCAAUUAAUUAGUUAGAGGCUAAGAGGUAAUAGCUGGUAAUUAAUAGCUAACUUGAUAAAACCUGAGUUCUGAAGUUAAUUAGGAACACUGAAAUGAAUUAAUCUUAUGCCUGCUUAAUUUAAUUUAACUUCGAUUGUUAAAAUUGAUUGUCUUUAAUUUUUGUUAAUUUAUGUUUUUUUGAUUGAUUGCCUUUGAUUUAGUUUUUGGUAAUAUAAUAUUAGAUUACUACUAUUUAGCCUGGUUAGUGUAGAAUAUUAGUCUUGGUUCAAUUCAACCUCCUUUGGGUACGAUCCUCGGAAUAGAUCCCGAAGUGUUUCCUUGUAACAUUAUUCUAUAUUACAAUUUAACUCGUAUACUUGUUGACACACUACAUUAUUAAUUGGCUCUUUAGCUACGGUAUUUUCAACCCAGACAUUCGCACAUCUGGUGGCAGUCAUUUGGCCAAAUGUUGACAAUUGGACAUGAAGAGUUUAAGAUGUACACAUCAGUUGCAGGCUCCUUCGUGCGACCCAUGAAACUAGGGCAUGGGAACACCUAUAUCCAACAAACUCAUUGAAGUUAAUAAGACCUUCAUUGUUCACACCGCUUUACUUAAAACUAUUUCAAUGUCACUUUUUUAAGAACGUAAGACAACUUAUAUGAAUUAGAGAAAAUAUUAAUAAGACCUUUGCUCAAAUUUUUAAAAAAAUAGUUGAAGUAUAUAUUUCCGAAAUUCAUGGCUUACAACAAUCAGGAAUGAAUUAACUUAUGAAAUGAUUAAUUCCUUUUUUUUCUCAUAAUUUUAUAGAAAAAAGGGAGAAGUUAAUGAUGUGCGUUUUCUAGUUGUGGUCAAUGAAAGAUGGGCGUUGUAUAAUGACUUCGACAUCGUUUUAGGUGUGAACAUCCUCUGUCAUAACUGUUUGAUGGUGGUGGGAGGCAAUUACCGCCUCCUAGUUUGCAUGGAACUUGAAGAUUUUUUCCCAGUCCCGGGUAGCUGAUUGGUGUCGCGUUUGCACCCUCUUCCAUCACCAUUGAGCUUAUUACCAAUGAACAAAUCCACAACACCAUGAUCUUCUUCUCCACUCCCAUUUUGUUCCAAGAAAUAUACAAUUAUUUAUUUAAUUAGAACUUUACACUAUCUUUCAAUCAAAAGUUUGGGUUUUUUAUCGCUUCAUGGUACUUGUAUAUUUAGUAAAAUGUUUAACCAUAAAUACAAGAUUUAAGCAUUUUUUAAGACAGUUUUAGUAAAUAAGAUGAUGAGUUCAUAACAGAAUUCCCUAGUCUCUUUCAACGCUAUUCAUCCUUUCCAAAAUUAUACAUGCAAUACUAGAUAAAAAAUGACUUGUUAAAUGUCAGUUUUCUUUAUAAACUACCAAUUUGAAUAAUAUUUUUCAAUGAAAAUAUAAGGAAAUCUCCUCCCUUUCUUUUUCUACAAACUAUUACUAUCCCGUACAACUUUAAAAUCAUUUAUUUGACUAAUGGAAAAUCAACAAUUUUAUUUGAAAUAAUAAGUUAUCCACAUUUUCGUUGUUCUUAUUUCCUAAAGCAUGUGGUAAUCCGAUUGUGUCCGGGUGAAAUUUGGGUUAUAGUUUUAGGAGCUUACUAUUAUUAUUUUCUUUAUGCUAACUUUUGUUUUUAUUAUUUCUUCUAUUUUGUUUAUUAUUAGAAAUUCUAUCGUAUGCGUAUACUUGUGGAAAUUACAUAUUUACAAUAUGAAUGUUUUUAAAACUAACAAACAAUAAAUAAUGAAAUGUAUGGUUCAAAACUAAAAAUAAUAACAAACUUUGUGAGAGAAAACAUUUUGUGCUAAAAAUCAAUUUUUUAGAAGUUUACUCAAGAAAUAUUAUUGAUGUAGUGGUAAAGAAUUUGUUUGUAGAUCCAUUAAACACAAGUUCCAAUCCCCAAACAUGGUAAAUUUAGUUCUUUUAACUAAAAACUAUAUAAAUCUAUGAAAGUACAAAAAGGGCAUCAAAAUGAUAAUAAUAGUCAUCUAACUAAAUGGUUUAUUAGUAAUUCCCUAAGUUGUGACAGACCACAGCCCAACGUGUGAAUGUGUUGGCUAAAAAUCACGCAAAUAAAAUAUGUAGAGUUAACUGCGGUUUCUGCAGGUGAACAUGUCAACUUGCAAUAUUGUUUUCUUUGCAAUGAAACACUUAUAAAGUAUUUCGAGGAUCGUACCCAAGGGAUUAUUGAUUAAAGAAAAUGGCUAUUAAAUUAAUUACAGAAAUUAAGUACUAAUCUAGUCGAGUUACAAAUUAGUAGUAUAAAUCCAAAACAAUAAUAAAAUUAACUAAUUAUUUUAACCGAAAACUAAAUGUAACCGUAAAUUAAUUAUUUGUUUCUCCUAUUCCUAGUUUCGACAACGUGAGCCUUCUCAGCCAAGAAUCAAUUCUAACCCUAAUUAUUAAUUAAGUACACAAGAACCUUGAAUUAAGAAUGUACUAACCUUAGCGAAGAAUACCUUCCCGGUUUCAUCUUCAUUAAGAAUUACAACCUAAGAUUCCUUUUCGGUCUUACCUAAGCAUACGUAUACCCUUUUGUUCUCACAGCUUGGUACAAGUUCUACUCAAUAGGAUACCCUCUCAGUCUCACUUGUCUAGAUCUUCUACUAUAGGUGUCACUUCCUAGUAUAUUAAGUACUUUCGAAUAAAAACUCAAUUUUAGGUUACUAUUAAUUUAAUCAAUUAAUUAAUGAAAUAAUCAAGUCAUUCAAAAAAAGUAAGAAGCCCAAAAUACAUUCCAAUAAUUAUAUAAACAUUCUAUUAAUAAAACUAUCAAAUGCAAUAUAAAUGAAAGAAUAAAGGGACGAGAAUGCUCGUUAAUUAAUCAUUGAAAUGGCACUAUUUCAAAACAUCCUUUGCUCGCGAUCGACUAACUUUGAGAGACAAGCAUGUAUUGGUCCAUUAAUUAAUUAGUUAGAGGCUAAGAGGUAAUAGCUGGUAAUUAAUAGCUAACUUGAUAAAACCUGAGUUCUGAAGUUAAUUAGGAACACUGAAAUGAAUUAAUCUUAUGCCUGCUUAAUUGAAUUUAACUUCGAUUGUUAAAAUUGAUUGUCUUUAAUUUUUGUUAAUUUAUGUUUUUUUGAUUGAUUGCCUUUGAUUUAGUUUUUGGUAAUAUAAUAUUAGAUUACUACUAUUUAGCCUUGUUAGUGUAGAAUAUUAGUCUUGGUUCAAUUCAACCUCCCUUGGGUACGAUCCUCGGAAUAGAUCCUGAAGUGUUUCCUUGUAACAUUAUUCUAUAUUACAAUUUAACUCGUAUACUUGUUGACACACUACAUUAUUAAUUGGCUCUUUAGCUGCGGUAUUUUCAACCCAGACAUUCGCACAUCUGGUGGCAGUCAUUUGGCCAAAUGUUGACAAUUGGACAUGAAGAGUUUAAGAUGUACACAUCAGUUGCAGGCUCCUUUAUGCGACCCAUGAAACUAGGGCAUGGGAACACCUAUAUCCAACAAACUCAUUGAAGUUAAUAAGACCUCCAUUGUUCGCACCGCUUUACUUAAAACUAUUUCUAUGUCACUUUUUUAAGAAUGUAAGACAACUUAUAUGAAUUAGAGAAAAUAUUAAUAAGACCUUUGCUCAAAUUUUUAAAAAAAUAGUUGAAGUAUAUAUUUCCGGAAUUCAUGGCUUACAACAAUCAGGAAUGAAUUAACAGAUGAAAUGAUUAAUUCCUUUUUUUUCACAUAAUUUUAUAGAAAAAAGGGAGAAGUUAAUGCUGUGCAUUUUCUAGUUUUGGUCAAUGAAAGAUGGGCGCUGUAUAGUGACUUCGACAUCGUUUUUGGUGUGAACAUCCUCUGUCAUAACCGUUUGAUGGUUGUGGGAGGCAAUUACCGCCUCCUGGUUUGCAUGGAACUUGAAGAUUUUUUCCCAGUCCCGGGUAGCUGAUUGGUGUCGCGUUUGCACCCUCUUCCAUCACCAUUGAGCUUAUUUCCAAUGAACAAAUCCACACCACCAUGAUCUUCUUCUCCACUCCCAUUUUGUUCCAAGAAAUAUACAAUUAUUUAUUUAAUUAGAACUUUACACUAUCUUUCAAUCAAAAGUUUGGGUUUUUUAUCGCUUCGUGGUACUUGUAUAUUUAGUAAAAUGUUUAACCAUAAAUACAAGAUUUAAGCAUUUUUUGUGACAUUUUUAGUAAAUAAGAUGAUGAGUUCAUAGCAGAAUUCCCUAGUCUCUUUCAACGCUAUUCAUCCUUUCCAAAAUUAUACAUGCAAUACUAGAUAAAAAAAAUGACAUGUUAAAAGUUAGUUUUCUUUAUCAACUACCAAUUUGAGUAAUAUUUUUCAAUGAAAAUAUAAGGAAAUCUCCUCCCUUUCUUUUUCUACAAACUAUUACUAUCCCGUACAACAUUAAAAUCAGUUAUUUGACUAAAGGUAAAUGUACAAUUUUAUUUGAAAUAAUAAGUUAUCCACAUUUUCGUUGUUCUUAUUUCCUAAAGCAUGUGGUAAUCCGAUUGUGUCCGAUUGUGUCCGGGUUAAAUUUGGGUUAUAGUUUUAGGAGCUUACUAUUAUUAUUUUGUUUAUGCUAACUUUAGUUUUUAUUAUUUCUUCUAUUUUGUUUAUUAUUAGAAAUUCUAUCGUAUGCAUAUACUUGUGGAAAUUACAUAUUUACAAUAUGAAUGUUUUUAAAACUAACAAACAAUAAAUAAUGAAAUGUAUGGUUCAAAACUAAAAAUAAUAACAAACUUUGUGAGAGAAAACAUUUUGUGCUAAAAAUCAAUUUUUUAGAAGUUUACUCAAGAAAUAUUAUUGAUGUAGUGGUAAAGAAUUUGUUUGUAGAUCCAUUAAACACAAGUUCCAAUCCCCAAACAUGGUAAAUUUAGUUCUUUUAACUAAAAACUAUAUAAAUCUAUGAAAAUACAAAAAGGGCAUCAGAAUGAUAAUAAUAGACAUUUAACUAAAUGGUUUAUAAGUAAUUCCCUAAGUUGUGACAGACCACAGCCCAACGUGUGGAUGUGUUGGCUAAAAAUCACGCAAAUAAAAUAUGUAGAGUUAAGUGCGGUUUCUGCAGGUGAACAUGUCAACUUGCAAUAUUGUUUUGUUUGCAAUGAAACACUUAUAAAGUAUCUCGAGGAUCGUACCCAAGGGAUUAUUGAUUAAAGAAAAUGGCUAUUAAAUUAAUUACAGAAAUUAAGUACUAAUCUAGUCGAGUUACAAAUUAGUAGUAUAAAUCCAAAACAAUAAUAAAAUUAACUAAUUAUUUUAACCGAAAACUAAAUGUAACCGUAAAUUAAUUAUUUGUUUCUCCUAUUCCUAGUUUCGACAACGUGAGCCUUCCCAGCCAAGAAUCAAUUUUAACCCUAAUUAUUAAUUAAGUAGACAAGAACCUUUAAUUAAGUAUGUACUAACCUUAGCUAAGAAUUCCUUCUCGGUUUCAUCUUCAUUAAGAAUUACCACCUAAGAUUCCUUUUCGGUCUUACCUAAGCAUACGGAUACCCUUUUGUUCUCACUGCUUGGUACAAGUUCUACUCAAUAGGAUACCCUCUCAGUCUCACUUGUCUAGAUCUUCUACUAUAGGUGUCACUUCCUAGUAUAUUAAGUACUUUCGAAUAAAAACUCAAUUUUAGGUUACUAUUUAUUUAAUCAAUUAAUUAAUGAAAUAAUCAAGUCAUUCAAAAUAAGUAUGAAGCCCAAAAUACAUUCCAAUAUUUAUAUAAACAUUCAAUUAAUAAAACUAUCAAAUGCAAUAUAAAUGAAAGAAUAAAGGGACGAGAAUGCUCGUUAAUUAAUCAUUGAAAUGGCACUAUUUCAAAACAUCCUUUGCUCACGACCGACUAAUUUUGAGAGAAAAGCAUGUACUGGUCCAUUAAUUAAUUAGUUAGAGGCUAAGAGGUAAUAGCUGGUAAUUAAUAGCUACCUUGAUAAAACCUGAGUUCUGAAGUUAAUUAGGAACACUGAAAUGAUUUAAUCUUAUGCCUGCUUAAUUGAAUUUAAUUUCGAUUGUUAAAAUUGAUUGUCUUUAAUUUUUGUUAAUUUAUGUUAUUUUGAUUGAUUGCCUUUGAUUUUGUUUUUGGUAAUAUAAUAUUAGAUUACUACUAAUUAGCCUGAUUAGUGUAGAAUAUUAGUCUUGGUUCAAGUCAACCUCCCUUGGGUACGAUCGUAGGAAUAGAUCCCUAAGUGUUUCCUUGUAACAGUAUUCUAUAUUACAAUUUAACUCGUAUACUUGUUGGCACACUACAUUAUUAAUUGGCUCUUUAGCUGCGGUAUUUUCAACCCAGACGUUCGCACAGCUGGUCGCAGUCAUUUGGCCAAAUGUUGACAAUUGGACAUGAAGAGUUUAAGAUGUACACAUCAGUUGCAGGCUCCUUCGUGCGACCCAUGAAACUAGGGCAUGGGAACACCUAUAUCCAACAAACUCAUUGAAGUUAAUAAGACCUCCAUUGUUCGCACCGCUUUACUUAAAACUAUUUCUAUGUCACUUUUUCAAGAACGUAAGACAACUUAUAUGAAUUAGAGAAAAUAUUAAUAAGACCUUUGCUCAAAUUUUUAAAAAAAUAGUUGAAGUAUAUAUUUCCGGAAUUCAUGGCUUACAACAAUCAGGAAUGAAUUAACAUAUGAAAUGAUUAAUUCCUUUUUUUCACAUAAUUUUAUAGAAAAAAGGGAGAAGUUAAUGAUGUGCAGUUUCUAGUAGUGGUCAAUGAAAGAUGGGCGUUGUAUAGUGACUUCGACAUCGUUUUUGGUGUGAACAUCCUCUGUCAUAACCGUUUGAUGGUGGUGGGAGGCAAUUACCGCCUCCUAGUUUGCAUGGAACUUGAAGAUUUUUUCCCAGUCCCGGGUAGCUAAUUGGUGUCGCGUUUGCACCCUCUUCCAUCACCAUUGAGCUUAUUACCAAUGAACAAAUCCACAACACCAUGAUCUUCUUCUCCACUCCCAUUU
rnacentral:lncRNA from 1 species